rnacentral:tRNA from 1 species
AAAAAGAUAAGCUAAAAAAGCUAUUAGGUUCAUACCCUAAUUAUAGAAGUAAAACCUUCUUCUUUUUA